CAGCAUAUGGAUGAAAGUGAACAGCAGCAGGAAGUUAAGUGAGGAGGAAGUUCCUGUGUGUGUUUGUGACUGAUCUGCAGUGACUUACAGCUCAAGCACUGAGAGCCUCAACAGAGAACUGAUCUGAUCUGAUUCAACAUGGACACAUGCUUCAUACUGAUUCUCAUUGUGGGGACAGGUUUGGUGACUGGAGACAACAUUGAGCCAGAUAAAGAGACAGAAAAAAACACUAAAGAAACAGAAACUGUCAAGCUGAGCUGCUCAUAUAGUACAAAUGGUCAAAAUGUUUGGCUUUACUGGUAUAGACAAUAUCCCAACAAAGAACCACAAUAUUUAUUAUACAAAAAUGCACGGGCAGCACGUGGUGAACACACUUCUGAUCCUCGCUUUCAGUCGACUGCAUCACAAACAUCCACUGAACUCACUAUUACUGAUGUUCGUCUGUCAGAUUCAGCUCUCUAUUAUUGUGCUCUAAGAGUUGGAGCCCAGUGAUACAAAACAUGAAACACGUCGUACAAAAACCUGAAGCUCUUUUCACUUUGAACCGAUCUAGUGAAAACCACAAUCAAAACCACAAUCUAUCCAGCCCCAAAUGUAAUAAAAUAUGUGGUAACACCUGUGUGAGGCUGA